AAGACCACUGACCUUUUUCAGAACUGCUUCCAGUGCUGAAGCACUAUAUUUAUUCCGAGCAAGAUCUGCAAGCAAGUUCAGCACUGCAGCCUGUACCUUUAGAUCAGAAAUCUCAGCUGCUGAAUCUCCAGAAGAUGCAGAACUACCUCGGUAUGGAAGCUUCAAGUGAGUCUCCUCUAAAGAACCUGGGGCUCUCUUUUGAAAUGGUGAAGUACUUAAAAAGCUCCAUAAGUGUUUCCCAUCUGUAUGGAAACGCCGAGUAAAGAAGUCACCUCCACAUAUUUGCACGAUAUUACUAAUUGUAUUUGUACAUCUUCGAACCGCCAAUGGACUUUUAUUUCGAAGACAGGAAACCAAAAAAGGCCACACUUUAUUGGCUGCAGGGAGCAGUCUGUUCUCGGU
rnacentral:misc_RNA from 1 species